GGCUUGUUGGUCUAGUGGUAUGAUUCUCACUUAGAGUGCGAGAGAUCUUGGGUUCAAAUCCUAGAUGAGACC
rnacentral:tRNA from 1 species